rnacentral:rRNA from 1 species
UACAGAGGGUGCGAGCGUUAAUCGGAAUUACUGGGCGUAAAGCGCACGUAGGUGGCGACGUAAGUCGGGUGUGAAAGCCCCGGGCUCAACCUGGGAAUUGCAUUCGAGACUGCAUUGCUGGAGUACGGAAGAGGAAGGCGGAAUUCCCGGUGUAGCGGUGAAAUGCGUAGAUAUCGGAAGGAGCAUCAGUGGCGAAAGCGGCUUCCUGGACCAGCACCGACGUUCAGGCACGAAAGCGUGGGGAGCAAACAGG